GCAAGCAGAAAGGGAAAGAAUUGCACCAUUAUUUGGUGGUAUACACACACAAACACACACACACACACAUAACUAGAAUCUCAGACACAAAUCACAAACAAAUGUUCUCAAAAUUCCACUUGAAAAGAAGAUAUAGAGUUAUAACUAUAACUCUUGAGACAGAAAAACAUUUUUAAUAUCAAAUUAUGAAUUACUUUGAUACUACUUCUCCAGCUUCUUUUUGUAGCAGAAAGGUCUGGUUGUUCUAUUACACUCAUUUAUCCCCUUUUAUAAAAUUCCUUAAUUUUAGCUAGCACAUGAUUGUCCAGCUAGAUACUACAUUUCCUAGCCUUCCUUUCCCAGCUAAGUAUGUUCCAAUGACUAAAUCCACACCCA